rnacentral:tRNA from 1 species
GGCACGAUAGCUCAAUGGCAGAGCGGCGGUCUCAUAAUCCGUAGACCAGGGUUCGAUUCCCUGUCGUGCCA